AUUGAACGCUGGCGGCAUACCUUACACAUGCAAGUCGAACGGCAGCACGGGAGCAAUCCUGGUGGCGAGUGGCGAACGGGUGAGUAAUAUAUCGGAACGUGCCCGGUCGUGGGGGAUAACGUAGCGAAAGCUACGCUAAUACCGCAUACGAUCUACGGAUGAAAGCGGGGGAUCGCAAGACCUCGCGCGAUUGGAGCGGCCGAUAUCAGAUUAGGUAGUUGGUGAGGUAAAGGCUCACCAAGCCGACGAUCUGUAGCUGGUCUGAGAGGACGACCAGCCACACUGGGACUGAGACACGGCCCAGACUCCUACGGGAGGCAGCAGUGGGGAAUUUUGGACAAUGGGCGCAAGCCUGAUCCAGCAAUGCCGCGUGCAGGAUGAAGGCCUCGGUUG
rnacentral:rRNA from 1 species